rnacentral:rRNA from 1 species
ACGCUCGACACCUACGGGAGGGCAGCAGUGAGGAAUAUUGGUCAAUGGGCGCUAGCCUGAACCAGCCAAGUAGCGUGAAGGAUGAAGGCUCUAUGGGUCGUAAACUUCUUUUAUAUAAGAAUAAAGUGCAGUAUGUAUACUGUUUUGUAUGUAUUAUAUGAAUAAGGAUCGGCUAACUCCGUGCCAGCAGCCGCGGUAAUCUGAGCGGGCUGGCAAGGC